UACGGAGGGGGCUAGCGUUGUUCGGAAUCACUGGGCGUAAAGCGCACGUAGGCGGCUUUCUAAGUCAGGGGUGAAAUCCUGGAGCUCAACUCCAGAACUGCCUUUGAUACUGCGAAUCUUGAGUCCGAUAGAGGUGGGUGGAAUUCCUAGUGUAGAGGUGAAAUUCGUAGAUAUUAGGAAGAACACCAGUGGCGAAGGCGGCCCACUGGAUCGGUACUGACGCUGAGGUGCGAAAGCGUGGGGAGCAACAGGG
rnacentral:rRNA from 1 species